UGGUCAGCACGGAGAACAUUACCCUGAAUUGGUAUUUUGGGAACAACCGGUCGAUGCUUGUGUCAAAUUGCCUGUUCCGGAUGGGCUGCGCUGCGAUCCUUCUGUCGAACAAGCGGUCAGACAGGAGGAGGUCCAAGUACGAGCUGGUACACACUGUGAGGACUCACAAGGGUGCAGAUGACAAGUGCUUCAGCUGUGUCACCCAGGAGGAGGAUGAUAGCGGCAAGGUUGGCGUGGCACUAUCCAAGGACCUCAUGGCGGUGGCUGGGGAUGCGCUCAAGACGAACAUCACAACGCUUGGCCCGCUUGUGUUACCAUUCUCGGAGCAGCUGCUGUUCAUGGUCACAUUGGUUGGCAAGAAGCUGUUCAAGAUGAAGAUCAAGCCAUACAUUCCUGACUUCAAGCUGGCAUUCGAGCACUUCUGCAUCCACGCUGGUGGGCGCGCUGUGCUUGAUGAGAUAGAGAAGAACAUGGACCUCACCGACUGGCACAUGGAGCCGUCCCGGAUGACUCUCUUCCGGUUCGGCAACACGUCCAGCAGCUCGCUCUGGUACGAGCUGGCCUACAGCGAGGCCAAGGGGAGGAUCAGGAGGCGCGACAGGAUCUGGCAGAUAGCGUUCGGUUCGGGGUUCAAGUGCAACAGCGCUGUCUGGAAGGCGCUCAGGUCAGUGAACCCUGCGAAGGAGCAGAACAACCCCUGGAUGGACGAGAUCGACACAUUUCCGGUGGUGGUUCCCAAGGUUUCCAAGGUUGUUGAAUAGCUUUGCCUGUUCAGUAAUAUACCACCCGGAACAGCAAGUGAGCAAAUCUUGCCAUUGAAUUCGACUGUAUGCAAUUUGUUUGGGUGAUCUGUCGGGGUAUUAAUUUUAGAUGAUUCCAUUUAGGUGGUACAGAGGGGUGUGGUGUCGUGCUGUUCACUUUUUAUCCAUUGAUCAGUUCUUAACAUCUUUGUGUUCCAUGUGGAUCGAGAAUCUUGGCCCCGAAAGGAGCAACUGCGUUGCAUUAAUUUUUCCAUGCGCACU
rnacentral:lncRNA from 1 species